AGUGAACGCUGGCGGUAGGCCUAACACAUGCAAGUCGAACGGCAGCACAGUAAGAGCUUGCUCUUGCGGGUGGCGAGUGGCGGACGGGUGAGGAAUGCAUCGGAAUCUACUUUUUCGUGGGGGAUAACGUAGGGAAACUUACGCUAAUACAGCAUACGACCUACGGGUGAAAGCAGGGGAUCUUCGGACCUUGCGCGAUUGAAUGAGCCGAUGUCGGAUUAGCUAGUUGGCGGGGUAAAGGCCCACCAAGGCGACGAUCCGUAGCUGGUCUGAGAGGAUGUUCAGCCACCCUGGAACUGAGACACGGUCCAGACUCCUACGGUAGGCAGCAGUGGGGAAUAUUGGACAAUGGGCGCAAGCCUGAUCCAGCCAUACCGCGUGGGUGAAGAAGGCCUUCGGGUUGUAAAGCCCUUUUGUUGGGAAAGAAAAGCAGCAGGUUAACACCCCGCUGUUCUGACGGUACCCAAAGAAUAAGCACCGGCUAACUUCGUG
rnacentral:rRNA from 1 species